rnacentral:rRNA from 1 species
CUACGUGCCAGCAGCCGCGGCUAAUACGUAGGGUGCAAGCGUUGUCCGGAAUUACUGGGCGUAAAGAGCUCGUAGGCGGUUUGUCGCGUCGUCUGUGAAAACUCGAGGCUCAACCUCGAGCUUGCAGGCGAUACGGGCAGACUUGAGUACUGCAGGGGAGACUGGAAUUCCUGGUGUAGCGGUGAAAUGCGCAUAUAUCAGGAGGAACACCGGUGGCGAAGGCGGGUCUCUGGGCAGUAACUGACGCUGAGGAGCGAAAGCGUGGGUAGCGAACAGGAUUAGAUACCCUGGUACUCCACGCCGCUAAACGGUGGGCGCUAGGUGUGGGUUUCCUUCCACGGGAUCCUUGCCGUUGCUAAUGCAUUUAGUGCCUCGCCUGGGGAGUACUGCCGCAAGGCUAAA